rnacentral:lncRNA from 1 species
GGCGGAGUUAGUAUGUUGGCUGUCAUAAGUAUUACAAUCUAAAUGUACUUUUAAUCCGUCUGUCUGCAUAUUUCAAGACAUGGCAUAUGAGGGUGCAGUUAGAUACCCUAUGGGUUGGAUGAUACUUGUCUUGUCAAUCAUCUUGAAAAAAUGUGUACUUUCCUCCGUCAUUAACACAAUGGAAAGGUCAAAUGCUUUAUUAUUUAAAUGUUGAAGGUGCAUUGGUGACGGAGAGAAACAAAAUAGUGCAGUUUGAGGCCAUGUGGCGGAGAGUGAUGCUGGAGAUGGGGGUGUGAGCAUGUGGGUCUGGCCAGGUGGGUCUGGGCAAGAUAUAACGCAAAGAAAAAGUCUUACAAAAAAUGUAAACAUCGUACCAAAAAAAUCCUAAAUUAACACCUUCAACCUCUCAGUGUAAUGGCUCAUUUGUUGGACUGACAGAUGUGGGGAUGCAGGUUGUCACCCAGGUGAUCCGAUCUUUCAGUUGUACAGUAACAGACAGUAUCUAACUCUAUGUAUUUAUGUAUGUCAGGAGGUGUGAGAGAGCCAUGCGUCGUGGUGGUGGUGGUGGCAGGGGGCUGUGCCAGGGCAGUGAGGCCCAAAGGAGAGAGGAGCACAGAGCUCAGGCUCGCCUGCAGGGGGGAUUACAGAGACUGGAGCAGGCCACGAGCUACCACCUCAACACACUCACCACAGAACAACGAAGAUUACACAGAGACCUGCUCAACAUCAGGACCGGUAACCCUUGGAGGAGGAGCCUUCACCCUAUGGUGUCGCGACCUGUCAACCCUGACCCCUCCCAUCUCUUCAUGCCCUGCAGGACUACCCUACCCACAAUCCCACGGGCCACCAGAGACCCAAAGAAACACAGGUCAGUGAAAGCUGUGUGUGGGGGAGUGUCUGGUCUGGCUGCACUCCAGGCUCGGGUCCAUGACUUCCUCUGCAGCUCUGCAGACCCACAGAGACACGGGGCAGAGAGCUCAGUGGCGCCACUCUGCCUGCCAGACCUCAAACUGCAGCCUGCAGCAGAAUUGACCAGCACUGGGCUGAGGGAGAAAGGGGAAGCGGAAGGGAGGGAGGGGAGAGCUGAGAGGGAGAGAGAAGAUGUGAGGGGGAGAGAGUGGAGGGCAACGCGAAAGAAGGAGGAAGAGAAUGGGAGGACAGAGAGAGACAGAGAGAAAGAGGAGUCUUAUCCUCUCCCUCCUCCCCCCUCCGACUUCCUCGCUGCUGAUGGUCGGCCCAGAACGCUCCACCUCCUGCCUGAUUUCAACCAAUCGCUGGCCGAGGCUCGUAAAGCUCGCUACAUCCGUUACCGAGGUCGACCCCCCUGCGAGAGGGAGCUAUCAAUCACUGAGAUAUUUGCCAGGGGCAACACAGGUUCCAUCCACAGAUUCUGAAAAGAGAGUAACCCUGUAAGACAGAACACAUCCUGUGAGUGUGGCUAGUAGUGUGUGACUUUUCUUUUAACCUGGGCCCUCUGCGCAUGUGUUAGUCCAUUAAGCAAAAGCAUUAGUAUUUUCUUGGGGAGCUAUAGCAAGUCUUCAGGUUUCAGGCAAGGUUACUCAUCAUGCAAGCGUGGUUCACCAAACCACUUCCGUUAUAUCAUGGACACCUCCAUAACCAUUAGAUCCAUUCUAACCUACUUUGUUUGGACUACAUUGUGUCAUACUGAACAGGGCUUUGGUCUCUGAUACACCUGUUCUGUGCCAAACUGACAAUGCAUCUUAUUCAGUGUUUCUAUUUUAUUAGGCAAGUCAGUUAAGAACAAAUUCUUAUUUACAAUGACAGCCUACCAGGGAACAGUGGGGUAACUGCCUUGUACAGGGGCAGAAUGACUGAUUUUUACCUUGGGGAUUCAAUCCAGCAACCUUUCUGUUACUGGCCCAAUGCUCUAACCACUAGGCUACCUGUCACCCUGUGAAUGUAGCAUUUGAGAUCUGCUCAAUGUGAAUAUCUUUUGUGUUAAAUCAUGUACCUGAUUGAAAUUCUCAAUGUAUGUAAAGUAUAAUGUUUAAAACUGUUGGCUUAUGAAUCAUGAUUUAUCGUAAUAAAAUAGAGGCC